GAUGAACGCUAGCGGGAGGCUUAACACAUGCAAGUCGAGGGGCAGCAUAGGGUAGCAAUACUCUGAUGGCGACCGGCAAACGGGUGAGUAACGCGUAUGCAACCUACCCUGUACAGGGGGAUAACCCGGAGAAAUUCGGACUAAUAUCCCGUAAUAAUAUCCGGAGGCAUCUUUGGAUAUUUAAAGUUCCGACGGUACGGGAUGGGCAUGCGUAAAUUAACUGGUUGGUAAGGUAACGGCUUACCAAGGCUAUGAUGUUUAGGGGUCCUGAGAGGGUGGUCCCCCACACUGGUACUGAGACACGGACCAGACUCCUACGGGAGGCAGCAGUGAGGAAUAUUGGUCAAUGGGCGCAAGCCUGAACCAGCAUCCCGCGUGCAGGAAGACGGCCCUAUGGGUUGUAAACUGCUUUUCCAGGGAGAGAAACUUACGCACGUGUUGCGUGACUGACGGUACCCUGGGAAUAAGCAUCGGCUAACUCCGUG
rnacentral:rRNA from 1 species